UGGCGCUGCCACUGGUGGCACGUAUGGGGCCGGCCAUUCUGCACAUGCGUUAAAUGCGUUAAAUAUUUUAACGCAAUUAAUUCAAAAAAUUAAUUACCGCCGUUAACGCGAUAAUUUUGACAGCACUAGUUUUAACAUAAGCCAAUAUCAAGGUUUUCACUCAAAAGAACAUGAUCAAGUUCUGUUUACACAGGGCAGUGGAUCUGCAUUUACACACCACCGUCUGGUUAUAAUCAGCCUGGGAAUGCUAAAUGCAGUACUGCUGAUGGCUGCUGUUGUCAUUGGGAUUUUCUGUCUAAAUGAUCAUAUAGUACAUAAUACUACCUGACCUGACAAACUUGAAAUGUGCAAUGUAACUCCUGUGAGUGAGAGUAGUAUCACAGCAACUCAUGAUUGACAACGUCCCGAAACUGGGAGGCGGUGGUAUGUGAUGGUAGAACGGAUUUUGGAUAGGCCUGAGUGAUGUAGCGACGGCGGGAACAUGGGUCCAGGUUAACAAUGUAACCGAGGGGGAAACAGUGUAAGCAAGCAUCUCACAGACUGCUUUUCUAUUGAUUUCUUAAGUUUUGUGACAGUAUCAUGGCUCACUGGUAAAACUAAAUUCUAGACUUCUUAAAAGUAGCUGGAGAAAUGGACAGUAUAACAGUUAGGGACCUCAGAGUGGAAACUGUGCAGAUUCUUAAUAAUGUGCUGAUAUCAGGGGGGAAUGGUUUAUUGGAUACUGCCUUGAACCUUCUGUUAAGCUGUAGGCCUAUACUGUAUGUGAAAUGGAGCAAAGUUAAACUUAAAACCUUUCAAAAAGUUGAAAUCACAAUAACUGGACAAAUCAUGUACUAUAUGUCUUUGUAAUAUCUUUGAAAUAAACUGCAGCUUGAUACAUUACUAUUCUUCUUAAACUGUGCUGAGCUAGUAUUCUGUAAUUGCCGUUUUAAUGUAAUAAAAGUGACAUCUAAAGGAAUCCAAAAAUACUUGAAUGUUUGUAUACAUAAAUAAUCUUGUGAUCAGAAAAUUAAACUACUCUUCAAAUUACGUGCAUCCUCCUGUAAAUGUUUAACAAAUGAACUUCAUUUUCUGUUUGUAAUGGUGUUAAAACAAACACACACACACACACACACACACAGGGCAAGGUCCUGACAAAUAGUCCUUUCUGAACAGUCACGUCAGACUAAGACUGCUUACAUCCUCAUAGUUAAAAUGGACACAGAAAAUGCAGGUACAUUUGGUGGUUCUUAUAACAAACUGAUCCACCAAGAGGACAUCAGUGGAGAUGAGCUCACUCUCUAUUCAAACCAAGAACGAGUGUCCAUGUCUGUGCUGAGACCUGAAUCCAGUUUGAAACAUUACAAAUGGCUUACAGUAAGCCUUGCAGUGCUUGCUGUCAUUCUACUAGCAGUGGACAUUGGCCUGGGAGUCUAUUUUACUGGAUUGGUGAAGAGUGGAGACGCAUUGAUGACAGGGACUGUGCUGCAAUGUAUCCCAGAAGCAGCCCCUUUGAAAUCUGGUAUCAAGCUCCAUGCCAUCAUAUACUGAAAUGGAUUUGCCAAAUGACAACAAGGUCUGCAGGUUAAUGUGAUUUUUUUUUAAUUAAUUGUUGCAAUCAAGAAUUGAGACCAUUGAAAACACAACUUCCAAAUCUUUUUUUAUUGUCCUUUCAAUAUUUGUGGAAACUACACAAUGGCAAGGUAAACGUAAUAAAAUACAUUUGAUUUAUGCAGUGAACUAUCAAAUGUAAGAUCACCAUUUUCUAGUAAUAAAAUAAAUAAAUGACCUUUUUUAUGUGCAUAUGACUUAAUACUAUACAGGUCUGUACAUUAAGUUAGUUUAUCAGCUAAACACCCACCUCUACAUAAUUGUACAUACUUACAAGUCACAACGCAGCAUUAAGAUAUCACUUAGCAUUGAGUUAUUAAGGUAAAGGAUUUGUUCAGAUGUUUUUAAAUUGUGUUGCAUGAAAUUCUUAUCCAAACUCACUGUAUAUUCCACUAACAGUGGUCGACAAGCCCUUACUUUGGAAAAAUACAGCAGUGCCAGCAUGGGACGCGAUGUAUUGUUGUUGAUGUGGCUGGCAGCAAAACAUAUAAUAGCCUCUUAAAAAAGGGCUACCUAAAAUAAAUCAAUAUCAGUUUGAGUAUAUGAUAUAUUUAGAAUAUUUCCGCUGCUUAACUUUUCUGUCAGUUAAUUCAGUCACACACAAACCAACUAACCAAUCAAGGCAGUGGCAAGAUUACUAUUUUUGUUGAAUGAAGACGAUGUACCAAAUAAACUGAGAGUUUAGUCAAUACAAA